rnacentral:rRNA from 1 species
GAUGAACGCUGGCGGCGUGCUUAACACAUGCAAGUCGAACGGAAAGGCCACAGCUUGCUGUGGUACUCGAGUGGCGAACGGGUGAGUAACACGUGGGUGAUCUGCCCUGUACUUCGGGAUAAGCUUGGGAAACUGGGUCUAAUACCGGAUAGGAAUCACAUGUGGGUGUGUGGUUGGAAAGCUUUUGCGGUAUGGGAUGAGCUCGCGGCCUAUCAGCUUGUUGGUGGGGUAAUGGCCUACCAAGGCGUCGACGGGUAGCCGGCCUGAGAGGGUGUACGGCCACAUUGGGACUGAGAUACGGCCCAGACUCCUACGGGAGGCAGCAGUGGGGAAUAUUGCACCAUGGGCGCAAGCCUGAUGCAGCGACGCCGCGUGGGGGAUGACGGCCUUCGGGUUGUAAACUCCUUUCGUCAGGGACGAAGCGAAAGUGACGGUACCUGGAUAAGAAGCACCGGCUAACUACGUG